UGGACCUCAGAUCAGGCAAGAUUACCCGCUGAGUUUAAGCAUAUCAGUAAGCGGAGGAAAAGAAACUAACAAGGAUU
rnacentral:rRNA from 1 species